rnacentral:rRNA from 1 species
GAUGAACGCUGGCGGCGUGCCUAAUACAUGCAAGUCGAGCGAACGGACGAGAAGCUUGCUUCUCUGAUGUUAGCGGCGGACGGGUGAGUAACACGUGGAUAACCUACCUAUAAGACUGGGAUAACUUCGGGAAACCGGAGCUAAUACCGGAUAAUAUUAUGAACCGCAUGGUUCAAAAGUGAAAGACGGUCUUGCUGUCACUUAUAGAUGGAUCCGCGCUGCAUUAGCUAGUUGGUAAGGUAACGGCUUACCAAGGCAACGAUGCAUAGCCGACCUGAGAGGGUGAUCGGCCACACUGGAACUGAGACACGGUCCAGACUCCUACGGGAGGCAGCAGUAGGGAAUCUUCCGCAAAGGGCGAAAGCCUGACGGAGCAACGCCGCGUGAGUGAUGAAGGUCUUCGGAUCGUAAAACUCUGUUAUUAGGGAAGAACAGAUGUGUAAGUAACUGUGCACAUCUUGACGGUACCUAAUCAGAAAGCCACGGCUAACUACGUG